rnacentral:tRNA from 1 species
CGGAGUGUAGCGCAGCCGGGUAGCGCAUCUGGUUUGGGACCAGAGGGUCGGAGGUUCGAAUCCUCUCACUCCGACCA